UCCGCGAUAGCUCAGUUGGUAGAGCGCCUCCCUGUUAAGGAGGAUGUCCCAGGUUCGAGCCCUGGUCGCGGAG
rfam:Candidatus Zambryskibacteria bacterium RIFCSPHIGHO2_01_FTLL_46_30 rifcsphigho2_01_scaffold_7814, whole genome shotgun sequence.